rnacentral:rRNA from 1 species
UACAGAGGGGGCAAGCGUUGUUCGGAAUUACUGGGCGUAAAGGGCGCGUAGGCGGCCUUCUAAGUCGAACGUGAAAUCCCCGGGCUCAACCCGGGAACUGCGUCCGAUACUGAAGGCUUGAAUCCGGGAGAGGGAUGCGGAAUUCCAGGUGUAGCGGUGAAAUGCGUAGAUAUCUGGAGGAACACCGGUGGCGAAGGCGGCAUCCUGGACCGGCAUUGACGCUGAGGCGCGAAAGCGUGGGGAGCGAUCCGGG